rnacentral:rRNA from 1 species
GAUGAACGCUGGCGGUCUGCUUAACACAUGCAAGUCGAACGGUGAACCCUCGGGUUCAUAGUGGCGGACGGGUGAGUAGCACGUAAGAACCUGCCUCUAGGACGGGGACAACAGUUGGAAACGACUGCUAAACCCGGAUGAGCCGAAAGGGAAAAGAUUUAUCGCCUAGAGAGGGGCUUGCGUCUGAUUAGCUAGUUGGUAAGGUAAAGGCUUACCAAGGCGACGAUCAGUAGCUGGUCUGAGAGGAUGAUCAGCCACACUGGGACUGAGACACGGCCCAGACUCCUACGGGAGGCAGCAGUGGGGAAUUUUCCGCAAUGGGCGAAAGCCUGACGGAGCAAGACUGCGUGGGGGAGGAAGGUUCUUGGAUUGUCAACCCCUUUUCUCAGGGAAGAACACAAUGACGGUACCUGAGGAAAAAGCAUCGGCUAACUCCGUGCCAGCCGCCGCAGUAAAAC